rnacentral:rRNA from 1 species
AUACGAAGGGGGCAAGCGUUGUUCGGAAUAACUGGGCGUAAAGCGCACGUAGGCGGAUUGAUCAGUUAGAGGUGAAAUCCCAGGGCUCAACCCUGGAACUGCCUUUAAUACUGUCAGUCUAGAGAUCGAGAGAGGUGAGUGGAAUUCCGAGUGUAGAGGUGAAAUUCGUAGAUAUUCGGAGGAACACCAGUGGCGAAGGCGGCUCACUGGCUCGAUACUGACGCUCAGGUGCGAAAGCGUGGGGAGCAAACAGGAUUAGAAACCCUUGUAGUCC